CCUGGUUAUUUUGCUAUUCCUCUUGGAGGUGUAUGCCAGCACACCUGCUUGUGAUGAGCUGCGUUGUUUCAGAUAGAAGCAAUUUAUCGGAAGAAAAUUAACAAAAAUGAGACUUUUUAAUGCAUUUGUUGGUUUAUCUUGUACAGCUGUUUCACAGGUGCAGUCUUCUGUGACAAUAGCAGUGUAAAUAUGUAUGGGAGGAGGACAGUAAAACAGGUGGGAUGGCUGCAACCUACAGAUGCACAACCCCACACUGAAUUGGAGGAGAGCAGGCUGGCUGUGUGGCUGCAGAAGGGCAGCUGACUCGAGAACAAGGGGCUCGGGUUUAUGAGGCUGCAGAGACCAGCAGGGCCUCCAGGAGGACUCGACAUGAAAAACUGUUGGAGUUCAUCAUAAGGGGCCAUUGAGCAGAUGAUCACUUGCUGGUAACUUAGUUCAGAUAACAAGUAAAACUUUGUUAUUGUAAUCUGUAGCAAAGAGCUAUGAUGACUUUAUAUGUAUUUGCUUGUCCAACAGCCAACAGGCUGUUGUAUCUGAAAAGGUGUCAUCCAAAUGGUUUAAAAAUUAUGAAGAUCCUAAAGGUCACCGGCUAAUGACCUAUAUACAGUAGAAGAUGAGGAGCUGACAGAUGGCCUCUAAACUACCUGAUGAAGUUCUGUCAAGAGCUGUAGGCACUUUUGAAAAGAUCAACAGAGUUCAAAUCAUUCAGGAUGUGCUGAAGCCAGAGGUUCAUUUGGCUUCAGUGAAUCUCUAAUGAGUACAGAAAGUAUCUCUAUUAGUAAAAUGCAGAAGGUCUGUUCAUUGAUGGACCAGCAGACAGUGAGGGGUAUGUCAUUUGGUGUUGGGGGGUAGACGGUCCCUUUUUAUUUUCAGCAUCAUUAUUCUGUUAAUCACAAUAUCAUUUUACUUGUAGUGAAUUUAGACAAGAGUAUAAACUAAAUACAUCCAUCCAUCCAUCCAUUUUCUAACCCGCUGAAUCCGAACACAGGGUCACAGAGGUCUGCUGGA